CAAUAGCGUAUAUUAAAGUUGUUGCAGUUAAAAAGCUCGUAGUUGGAUUUCUGGGAGGGUGCCAAUGUCCGCUGAGGCGAGCGCAGAGGCGCCCUUCCAUCCUUCUGUUAACGUUUCUUGGUAUUCAGUUACUGGUUUCGGGCUCAGAUAUUUUACCUUGAGAAAAUUAGAGUGUUUCAGGCAGGCUUGCGCCGGAAUACAUUAGCAUGGAAUAAUAGAAAAGGACUUUAGUCUCCCUUGUUGGUUUAGGGACUGAAGUAAUGAUUAAUAGGGAUAGUUGGGGGCAUUAGUAUUUAAUUGUCAGAGGUAAAAUUCUCGGAUUUGUUAAAGACUAACUUAUGCGAAAGCAUUUGCCAAGGAUGUUUNCAUUAA
rnacentral:rRNA from 1 species